rnacentral:rRNA from 1 species
AGAACGCUGAAGAGAGGAGCUUGCUCUUCUUGGAUGAGUUGCGAACGGGUGAGUAACGCGUAGGUAACCUGCCUUGUAGCGGGGGAUAACUAUUGGAAACGAUAGCUAAUACCGCAUAACAAUGGAUGACACAUGUCAUUUAUUUGAAAGGGGCAAUUGCUCCACUACAAGAUGGACCUGCGUUGUAUUAGCUAGUAGGUGAGGUAACGGCUCACCUAGGCGACGAUACAUAGCCGACCUGAGAGGGUGAUCGGCCACACUGGGACUGAGACACGGCCCAGACUCCUACGGGAGGCAGCAGUAGGGAAUCUUCGGCAAUGGGGGCAACCCUGACCGAGCAACGCCGCGUGAGUGAAGAAGGUUUUCGGAUCGUAAAGCUCUGUUGUAAGUCAAGAACGAGUGUGAGAGUGGAAAGUUCACACUGUGACGGUAGCUUACCAGAAAGGGACGGCUAACUACGUGCCAGCAGCCGCGGUAAUACGUAGGUCCCGAGCGUUGUCCGGAUUUAUUGGGCGUAAAGCGAGCGCAGGCGGUUUGAUAAGUCUGAAGUUAAAGGCUGUGGCUCAACCAUAGUUCGCUUUGGAAACUGUCAAACUUGAGUGCAGAAGGGGAGAGUGGAAUUCCAUGUGUAGCGGUGAAAUGCGUAGAUAUAUGGAGGAACACCGGUGGCGAAAGCGGCUCUCUGGUCUGUAACUGACGCUGAGGCUCGAAAGCGUGGGGAGCGAACAGGAUUAGAUACCCUGGUAGUCCACGCCGUAAACGAUGAGUGCUAGGUGUUGGAUCCUUUCCGGGAUUCAGUGCCGCAGCUAACGCAUUAAGCACUCCGCCUGGGGAGUACGACCGCAAGGUUGAAACUCAAAGGAAUUGACGGGGGCCCGCACAAGCGGUGGAGCAUGUGGUUUAAUUCGAAGCAACGCGAAGAACCUUACCAGGUCUUGACAUCCCGAUGCUAUUUCUAGAGAUAGAAAGUUACUUCGGUACAUCGGUGACAGGUGGUGCAUGGUUGUCGUCAGCUCGUGUCGUGAGAUGUUGGGUUAAGUCCCGCAACGAGCGCAACCCCUAUUGUUAGUUGCCAUCAUUCAGUUGGGCACUCUAGCGAGACUGCCGGUAAUAAACCGGAGGAAGGUGGGGAUGACGUCAAAUCAUCAUGCCCCUUAUGACCUGGGCUACACACGUGCUACAAUGGUUGGUACAACGAGUUGCGAGUCGGUGACGGCAAGCUAAUCUCUUAAAGCCAAUCUCAGUUCGGAUUGUAGGCUGCAACUCGCCUACAUGAAGUCGGAAUCGCUAGUAAUCGCGGAUCAGCACGCCGCGGUGAAUACGUUCCCGGGCCUUGUACACACCGCCCGUCACACCACGAGAGUUUGUAACACCCGAAGUCGGUGAGGUAACCUUUNNAGCCAGCC